rnacentral:misc_RNA from 1 species
ACAAUUUAAUAUUUAAUUCUUUAUUUAUUAUUAUAUUUGUUCAGUAUGGAAUUUGCAUAGACCUGGACAAAAUUUGCAUUUGUUUCUCUUUUCUCAGUUACAAACUUUUUGUGUACAGGAGAUGGUAAAGCACUGAAGAUGAAAUUAAAAAACAACUCAAAACCUGUGAUGAAUUCAGUGAAUCUAAGUAACAAAAUAGAAAUAAAGGACAAUAAAGAAAAGGAGAAGGAAAUAUUUGGCAAUAAAAUCCAUCCUCAAAAAGAAGAGGACACAAUUAGUAAUAAGUCUAUUAAUGGUAUUAAAAAUAAUAAAGAAAAAGGAUCCAUCAUUGAACAGCCGUCCAAGGAAAAUAGCUAUGGUUCUAUUAAUGCCAGUUCAGAAGAAGAAAAAAAGGAUGCCAGCAAAGAAGAUUUAGAAAUGAAACGUGAUUUAUCAAAUAACUUUAGUGAUGAACAAAAUCCUGAUGUUGAAGAUAUUGAUACGGAUAAAAUGGAAACAACAACUGCAGAUGUCAUUAUUUCUGAAUACCCACCAGACUGUUGUCCUGAUUGUUGUUAUGUUCGAUAUCCAGCAUGUUUAGGCAAUGAUGAAAAUAAAUAUUGGGUAAUUUGGAAGGAAUCAAGAACAAAAUGUUUUCGUUUAGUUGAAAACAAAUAUUUUGAAACAAUUGUAAUAUCAAUGAUUCUUGUCAGCAGUUUAGCUUUGGCUUUAGAAGAUGUUAAUUUGAAACACAGACCAAUCCUAAAAGAUAUAUUGACUUAUAUGGAUAAAGUUUUUACUGUAAUAUUUUUCUUUGAAAUGUUAAUUAAAUGGUUAGCGUUUGGCUUCAAACAAUAUUUUACUAAUGCAUGGUGUUGGCUGGAUUUUGUUAUUGUACUGGUAUCAGUGGUCAAUCUCACAGCUACAUUAGUAGGGGGUGGAAACAUUCAAGCCUUCAAGACAAUGCGUACUCUUCGUGCUCUUCGUCCUUUAAGAGCUCUAUCACGCUUCCAAGGAAUGAGGACUUCUAUAAAAACAUUUAAGAUUUUUAUAUAAUACUACUACUAAUUAUCCAGUGUACAUAAACUAUCAAAAUUUAUUUUAAAAAGUUGUUGUAAAUGCACUUGUACAAGCUAUCCCUGCCAUCUUUAAUGUGUUAUUAGUGUGCCUCAUCUUUUGGUUAAUUUUUGCAAUUAUGGGUGUACAGUUAUUUAAUGGAAAAUUUCAUAA